CCGGCGCACGGGUGAGUAACACGUAUCCAACCUGCCGUCUACUCUUGGCCAGCCUUCUGAAAGGAAGAUUAAUCCAGGAUGGCAUCAUGAGUUCACACGUCCGCAUGAUUAAAGGUAUUUUCCGGUAGACGAUGGGGAUGCGUUCCAUUAGAUAGUAGGCGGGGUAACGGCCCACCUAGUCAACGAUGGAUAGGGGUUCUGAGAGGAAGGUCCCCCACAUUGGAACUGAGACACGGUCCAA
rnacentral:rRNA from 1 species